rnacentral:lncRNA from 1 species
CCGUAGUACUUUCUACCUGAGGGAACCUAAAUAGAGUCAUUGUGUGGCCAUUUAUGGUUGCCACUGUUCACAUAAAUAUGACACUGCACCCAGACAGAAAAUUCCAGCCUCUCUGAGACACUUUCUCUAAUAUCUCACAGAUAUCAAUAAAGGGCCCACUGAAGAAAUGGAAUGGCUGGGGAGCAGAGUAGGUCAGGGUCGAAAAGUUUAAAUUGUUGCUUCUCUAAUUUUUGCAUGUUUCUAUGUGAGCAGUUUCACCUUCUUGAGCCUAAGUUUUCUCAUCUUUAAAAUGAGAAGUGGGCUGGGUACGGUGGCUCACGCCUGUAUUCCCAGCACUUUGAGAGGCCGAGGUGGGGGCGGAUUACCUGAGGUCAGAAGUUUGAGACCAGCCUGACCAACAUGGCGAAACCCUGUCUCUACUAAAAAUACAAAAAUUAGCCUGGCGUGUUGGCACAUGCCUGUAGUCGCAGCUACUCAGGAGGCUGAGACACAAGAAUUGCUUGAACCCGGGAGGUGGAGGCUGCAGUGAGCUGAGAUUGCAACACUGCACUCCAGCCUGGGUGACAGAGUGAGACUCCAUCUCAAAAAUAAAUAAAAAUAAAAUAAGAAGUGUGUGGAUGUUAAGCCAUACCUUGUAUGGUUUGUGGCAAGGACUAAGUGAGUGAGAUAGCGUAAAUGAAGCUCAAUGCGUAGGAAUUACUUAGUCAUUGGGUUUCUUUGGACAAGUUACUUCAACCUCUCAGUUAAAGUAACCUUUCAGUUAAAGAGUUUCAGUUGCCUCAUCUAUUAAAUAGAGAUGAUUAUACCCUUUUCCCUGCCUGUUUUUCAAGACUGUAGUAGUGAAGCCAGGCAUGAUGACUCAAUCCUGUAAUCAUAGCACUUCGAGAGGCUCAGGUGGGAGGAUCACUUGAGCCCAGGAGUUUGAGACCAGCCUGGGAAACAUAGUGAUACCCCAUCUUUGCAAAAAAAUUUUUAAAAAAUCAACUGAGUGUGGUGAUGUGCACCUGCAGUUCUAGCUCAGCUCCCCCGAGUAGCUGGGACCACAGAAUCAUGCCACCAUAAUUGGCUCAUUUUUGUAUUUCUUGUAGGGACAGGUUUCACCAUGUUGUCCAGGCUGGUCUCGAAUUCCUGAGCACAAGCAAUCUGCCUGCCUUGGCCUCCCAAAGUGCUGGGAUUACAGGCAUAUGCUACCAUACCCAGCUGUUUAACCUUUCUAAGUUUAGUUUGUGAUUUUGUUGUGGUCUUUUGACAAAAGGUUUUUUUUUGUUUUGUUUUAGAACAGCUU